ACGAACGCUGGCGGCAUGCCUAACACAUGCAAGUCGAACGAGACCUUCGGGUCUAGUGGCGCACGGGUGCGUAACGCGUGGGAAUCUGCCCUUGGGUUCGGGAUAACAGUUGGAAACGACUGCUAAUACCGGAUGAUGACUUCGGUCCAAAGAUUUAUCGCCCAGGGAUGAGCCCGCGUAGGAUUAGCUAGUUGGUGAGGUAAAGGCUCACCAAGGCGACGAUCCUUAGCUGGUCUGAGAGGAUGAUCAGCCACACUGGGACUGAGACACGGCCCAGACUCCUACGGGAGGCAGCAGUGGGGAAUAUUGGACAAUGGGCGAAAGCCUGAUCCAGCAAUGCCGCGUGAGUGAUGAAGGCCUUAGGGUUGUAAAGCUCUUUUACCCGGGAAGAUAAUGACUGUACCGGGAGAAUAAGCCCCGGCCAACUCCGUGCCAGCAGCCGCGGUAAUACGGAGGGGGCUAGCGUUGUUCGGAAUUACUGGGCGUAAAGCGCACGUAGGCGGCUUUGUAAGUUAGAGGUGAAAGCCCGGAGCUCAACUCCGGAAUUGCCUUUAAGACUGCAUCGCUAGAACGUCGGAGAGGUGAGUGGAAUUCCGAGUGUANAGGUGAAAUUCNUANAUAUUCGGAAGAACACCA
rnacentral:rRNA from 1 species